rnacentral:sRNA from 1 species
AGCAGCCGCGGUAAUUCCAGCUCCAAUAGCGUAUAUUAAAGUUGUUGCAGUUAAAAAGCUCGUAGUUGAAUUUCGGGAUCAAAGGAUCGGUCAUGCCUUGGUAUGUACUGGUUUUAUUGGUUCUCACCUUCUAAAGAACCAUAAUGUCAUUCAUUUGAUGUUAUGGGGAAUUAGGACUGUUACCUUGAAAAAUUAGAGUGUUUAAAGCAGGCUUACGCUUGAAUACAUUAGCAUGGAAUAAUGAAAUAGGACAUCAGAUUCUAUUUUGUUGGUUUCUAGGAUCGAUGUAAUGAUUAAUAGGGAUAGUUGGGGGCAUUAGUAUUCAAUUGUCAGAGGUGAAAUUCUUGGAUUUAUUGAAGACUAACUACUGCGAAAGCAUUUGCCAAGGAUGUUUUCAUUAAUCAAGAACGAAAGUUAGGGGAUCGAAGACGAUCAGAUACCGUCGUAGUCUUAACCAUAAACUAUGCCGACUAGGGAUCGGAUGAUGUUAAUUUUAUAAUGACUC